UACGGAGGGUGCAAGCGUUAUCCGGAUUUACUGGGUUUAAAGGGUGCGUAGGUGGGUAGGAAAGUCAGUGGUGAAAUCUUCGGGCUUAACCCCGGAAACUGCCAUUGAUACUAUUUAUCUUGAAUACUUUGGAGGUAAGCGGAAUAUGUCAUGUAGCGGUGAAAAUGCUUAGAUAUGACCAUAGAACACCCAAUUGCGAAGGCCAGCUUACCUACACAGUUAUUGACACUGAGGCACGAAAGCCGCUGGGGAUCAAACAGG
rnacentral:rRNA from 1 species